rnacentral:rRNA from 1 species
UACAGAGGGGGCAAGCGUUGUUCGGAAUUACUGGGCGUAAAGGGCGCGUAGGCGGCCUUCUAAGUCGAACGUGAAAUCCCCGGGCUCAACCCGGGAACUGCGUCCGAUACUGGUGGGCUUGAAUCCGGGAGAGGGAUGUGGAAUUCCAGGUGUAGCGGUGAAAUGCGUAGAUAUCUGGAGGAACACCGGUGGCGAAGGCGGCAUCCUGGACCGGCAUUGACGCUGAGGCGCGAAAGCCAGGGGAGCAAACGGG